CCAUGCAAGUCGAACGAUGAACCACUUCGGUGGGGAUUAGUGGCGAACGGGUGAGUAACACGUGGGCAAUCUGCCCUGCACUCUGGGACAAGCCCUGGAAACGGGGUCUAAUACCGGAUACUGACCUUCACGGGCAUCUGUGAAGGUCGAAAGCUCCGGCGGUGCAGGAUGAGCCCGCGGCCUAUCAGCUUGUUGGUGAGGUAAUGGCUCACCAAGGCGACGACGGGUAGCCGGCCUGAGAGGGCGACCGGCCACACUGGGACUGAGACACGGCCCAGACUCCUACGGGAGGCAGCAGUGGGGAAUAUUGCACAAUGGGCGAAAGCCUGAUGCAGCGACGCCGCGUGAGGGAUGACGGCCUUCGGGUUGUAAACCUCUUUCAGCAGGGAAGAAGCGAAAGUGACGGUACCUGCAGAAGAAGCGCCGGCUAACUACGUGCCAGCAGCCGCGGUAAUACGUAGGGCGCAAGCGUUGUCCGGAAUUAUUGGGCGUAAAGAGCUCGUAGGCGGCUUGUCACGUCGGUUGUGAAAGCCCGGGGCUUAACCCCGGGUCUGCAGUCGAUACGGGCAGGCUAGAGUUCGGUAGGGGAGAUCGGAAUUCCUGGUGUAGCGGUGAAAUGCGCAGAUAUCAGGAGGAACACCGGUGGCGAAGGCGGAUCUCUGGGCCGAUACUGACGCUGAGGAGCGAAAGCGUGGGGAGCGAACAGGAUUAGAUACCCUGGUAGUCCACGCCGUAAACGGUGGGCACUAGGUGUGGGCAACAUUCCACGUUGU
rnacentral:rRNA from 1 species